rnacentral:rRNA from 1 species
ACGAACGCUGGCGGCGUGCUUAACACAUGCAGGUCGAACGGAAAGGCCCUGCUUUUGUGGGGUGCUCGAGUGGCGAACGGGUGAGUAACACGUGAGUAACCUGCCCUUGACUUUGGGAUAACUUCAGGAAACUGGGGCUAAUACCGGAUAGGAGCCCCUGCUGCAUGGUGGGGGUUGGAAAGUUUCGGCGGUUGGGGAUGGACUCGCGGCUUAUCAGCUUGUUGGUGGGGUAGUGGCUUACCAAGGCUUUGACGGGUAGCCGGCCUGAGAGGGUGACCGGCCACAUUGGGACUGAGAUACGGCCCAGACUCCUACGGGAGGCAGCAGUGGGGAAUAUUGCACAAUGGGCGGAAGCCUGAUGCAGCAACGCCGCGUGCGGGAUGACGGCCUUCGGGUUGUAAACCGCUUCCGCCUGUGACGAAGCGUGAGUGACGGUAAUGGGUAAAGAAGCACCGGCUAACUACGUG